UCCCGUACUUGGUGUUACUGCGAAGGGGGGACGGAGAAGGCUAUGUUGGCCGGGCGACGGUUGUCCCGGUUUAAGCGUGUAGGUGUGUGUUCCAGGUAAAUCCGGUUCACUUUAACACUGAGGCGUGAUGACGAGGCACUACGGUGCUGAAGCAACAAAUGCCCUGCUUCCAGGAAAAGCCUCUAAGCAUCAGGUAACAUCAAAUCGUACCCCAAACCGACACAGGUGGUCAGGUAGAGAAUACCAAGGCGCUUGAGAGAACUCGGGUGAAGGAACUAGGCAAAAUGGUGCCGUAACUUCGGGAGAAGGCACGCUGACAC
rnacentral:rRNA from 1 species